GCGGGCGUCGCCUAGUGGUUUGGCCUCGGGCUUCCAACCCGAUCACGUCGGUUCGAUUCCGACCGUCCGCUCCA
rnacentral:tRNA from 1 species